rnacentral:lncRNA from 1 species
CCCCCUCUUCGGGCUGAAUUUCUUCUCCUCGAGCACCCUCUUCCUCUUGCUCGAUCUGCUCGUCAGCAUCUUCCAACUGCUCGCCGGUAGACUUCUUUUUUGUCCUUUUCUUCUUGCUCUUCUUCCGGGGCUCACUGGAAGGAGGGACAUCACUCGUCUCCUCAGUACUCCUCCCGGCUCCCGAACCAUCGCCUCUUUUUCUUUUCUUUCCCUUCCCCGCACUUCUGGCAUCGGAAGGGAAAACCUCGUCAGAACGAGGAACCGCCGUUGAGGGUCCUUCCCCGCUAGUCAGCCCCAGCUGGGCCGCUAUUAUUGCGCUCAAAUCAGGAAGAGUGCCCAUCUUCUUCGCCUCGGUAAUUUGUUUUUGG